UGUUUUAGUCUAGUUAGGGGAACCUGUUUUUUAAACGAUACAACACGCAUUAUUUUACUUAUUUUAGUUAAUCAGCUUGUAUACCGUCAUUAUAAGAUAAUUUAUGAGAAAAUAUUAUUGAGAUCAUAUUAUUGAAUAUAUUAGAUCAAGGUGCAGCUUAUAAGUAAGUAAAUAUGGGUUACAAUAAAAUUUAUUUAAUAUGAAUUAAGUAUUUAAAUAUAUUUAUGAAGGAGGAUUUAAUUGUAAGAAGAGGAGUAGUGAGAUUUUCUGAUAUAAGCUCUAAAUUAU
rnacentral:rRNA from 1 species